AUACCAUGGUGUGGGCAAUUCUUCAACAACAUCUUGAAUCAGUUGAAGGCUUCAUGAAAUAACUCACCCGAUUGCUGUUGGAAGUUCUGAAUCUCCUUAUGAGCAU
rnacentral:snoRNA from 1 species